CCUAGUAACACGACGGAAGCAAAGCACGCUACUUGUUCUGUUGUUGAUUGCAAGAACCAACAGAAAAGUCUUCACGUCCUCAUCUGACGAUGUAAAGUGGAUUCACUUUAUUUCUGACUGAAAUGUCCUCACAACAACAGGAAAGCAGUCAGUACAAAAUCAGAUUCGCUGGAACGUGUGCGGUGUGAAGUUUUUGGUUUAGAAGCUGUUAUCGUGGUGAUAUUCACGGUAAAGUGCAGCUAAACUCCGUUACAGUAAUUCAACGGCUACAAAGACAUCACAGGUGCAGUAGAGCGGAAACACUGACCAAUCAGAGCAGACCGGCAAGCAGGCCUUUCAGAUGCUGUGCCUAUAAUACUGCCGAGACCCCAGCCAGCACGCCAAUUCAAACAUGUC